rnacentral:sRNA from 1 species
UAAGAUUGCAGGUAGAGAUACGCUGUAUACUCGUGUAACCGAAUUAGCGUUUAAGUGUCAUGUAAUGGCACCGGUCACGAGGCCGCCGCGAGGCGGUUUUUUUAGUU